AACGAACGCUGGCGGCAUGCCUAACACAUGCAAGUCGAACGAAAACUUCGGGUCUUUUCGCGCACGACUGCGUAACGCGUGGGAACCUGCCCUUAGGUUCGGAAUAACUCCCCGAAAGGGGUGCUAAUACCGGAUAAUGUCUUCUGACCAAAGAUAUAUCGCCCUUGGAUGGGCCCUCGUUGGAUUAGCUUGUUGGUAGGGUAAUAGCCUACCAAGGCGACGAUUCAUAGCUGGUCUGUGAGGAUGAUCAGCCACACUAGGACUGAGACACGGCCCAGAAUCCUACGGAAGGGAGGAGUGGGGAAUAUUGGACAAUGGGGGAAGGGCUGAUGCAGCAAUGCCGCGUGAGUGAUGAAGGCAGUAGGGUUGUAAAGCUCUUUUAACCGGGAUGAUAAUGACAGUACCGGGAGAAUAAGCCCCGGCUAACUACGUG
rnacentral:rRNA from 1 species